rnacentral:tRNA from 1 species
GGCCCCGUCGUCUAACGGUUAGGACACCGGGUUUUCAUCCCGGCAAUCGGAGUUCGAUUCUCCGCGGGGUCA